CAGCAGCCGCGGGAAUACGUAGGUGGCAAGCGUUGUCCGGAAUUAUUGGGCGUAAAGGGCUCGCAGGCGGUUUCUUAAGUCUGAUGUGAAGGCCCCCGGCUCAACCGGGGAGGGUCAUUGGAAACUGGGAAACUUGAGUGCAGAAGAGGAGAGUGGAAUUCCACGUGUAGCGGUGAAAUGCGUAGAGAUGUGGAGGAACACCAGUGGCGAAGGCGACUCUCUGGUCUGUAACUGACGCUGAGGAGCGAAAGCGUGGGGAGCGAACAGGAUUAGAUACCCCAGUAGUCCCUGUCUCUUAUAC
rnacentral:rRNA from 1 species